rnacentral:rRNA from 1 species
AUGGAGGAAGAUGAGCCUAUGGGGGAAGAUGAGCCUAUGGACGAAGAACAUAUACAAGAAAAGGAAAGUGAUGGUCUUGAAGAAUUUUGGAAUGAGUACUCAGUGGCACUUGAAAGCUCUAAGCUCGACACACUUGAAGAGGCAGCCAAUGAGAAAGAGGUGAACAACGUCUGCAAUCAUGAAAUACAGAUUCAUGAAGAUCUGGGCCAUGUAUGCCGUGUCUGCGGUAUGAUUGUGAGAGAAGGGCUGACACAAUCAUUGAUUAUCGAUGGAGAAAGAAUCGUUGAAGAACUGAAUGCGUUAGACAUUGUUAUUCAUCCAAGACAUGAAAAGCAAAUAAGACCACAUCAGUUGGCAGGUUUCCACUUUCUGGUUAAGAAUUUAGUCUCUGACAAACUAGGAGGUUGCAUUCUAGCUCAUGCCCCUAAAAUAUUAGAAGUUGAUGCUGCAGAUAGGGCUUUCAGCUUGAUAGAUGUAACUGUUGAUAGUCUGGUCCGGUCUAUCAACGUGGCCGACGGUGUGAAGGCCAGCCUUUUCACCAAUAUCCUGGCACUUGUGGAAUCUGCGGUAGAGAAGGUCAUUGCAUUUAGUCAGUACAUUACUUCCCAUGAAUUUUUUGAAAAGUCUAUUGGUUAA